GACCCAGACUUGGGUUUGUGGAGACAAUACAAUGUUGCAACUCUGGGAUCAAGUCUGGGGGUGAACCAUUCGGGGUUUUUCAGAGAGAUCACAGGGAAAUAGUUUUUUAAAAUGUUGUAAAUAAAGAAGAAUAAUGGGGGGAUUGCUAUUAUACUUCAGACACUGGUUAGGAUGGUGGCCAGAUUCUGUUGUGAUUCUGCCAUUUAAAUGGGAUUGUGGAAAUUUCUAGGGUAAAAUUUAGUGUUUUGGUUGAGAUGAAUAUUAGUAAAUUGCCCUGAUGAGGAGUGGAUAUACCGCUCGCAACGUUGGAAAACAGUGAAGAUUUGUGUUUUUAAUUUAAUUGGAGAGUAAAAUCGCUGAGAACCGCAAAAUGGCCCAGAGGAGUAGGAGGAAUAUUUGUAACUACACUGGCGGUUGGAAAAAUCAUUUUGUUCAAAACGGAAAAGGCUAAUAAUGCAUGACAUAAUGGAAAAAUAUCUCAUGUCAGAUAGGCUCGGACCCUUGCUAUUUUUUUUCCAAAAUUAUUCAAACUUAUUACAAUAAUUAAUUUCGUAAGGGAUAGAUAAUAGAUUCAGGAGAAGGCACGGAUUAAUCUAUUUAAUUAACACCAGUGAUGUCUGAUACAUCAGGUCUGGGUUUAGAAUGCCACAAAAUCAAUCGAAUAAGUACAAAACAAAACAUAUACAAUUAUUUUUUCACGAAAAGACAAAAGAAUUUAUAAAUUAGACAUUCGAUCCAGAGGCUAUUCACAGGCGUAAUCGUGGUGUCACUCGCUGAUGUAAUCAAUU